CUCCUCCUCCUGGGACCUCCACGGACCUGGCGUUCUCUGGGGUCCCCUGCGUCUCGUUGCACCUUGCUCUUGGGCCAGCUCUGUGUUCCUAAGAGGGUCCCUGUACCCUCCAACCGCUGGGGUUCCGGGAGCCCCAUGGGAAUGAGCCCCAGGUAGCUCCACAAGCAGGUGCCCUGUGCCCAGUUCCAGCAGCUUUCUUUGCCUGGCCUGCUUCCUCCCCUGGGCGCCUGUCCAGCGACCAGCACCUCCUCAGCUCCUCUCUCCCAUCUUCCCUGGAACCCCUGUCGCGUGGCUAGCAAAAGAGUUUGCUAUGGUUGAAAUAAAGGUCAGCCAGGUUGGGGCUGGAUUAUCCCUGGGGAUCUUGGCUUACAGAUUUGUAUGUAGCACCAGGGCUAAAAAAGCAGGAGAGAAAAAUAGAUUUGAAGUAAAGUGCAUUCUGGCGUGGUGGCACAUGGCUGAGGGAGGAGGACCCCGAGUCCGAAGUUCAAGAUGAUCCGGGGCAUCAUGGACCCAGCCUUAAAAAAAGCAAAACAACAGAAUGAACCAUUUCCAGGAGGGUCAUUCAGUUUAUUGGCAAAAAAAAACAGAAGAGUUGGGCUGGGGAUGUGGCUCAAGCGGUAAUGCGCUCGCCUGGCAUGCGG
rnacentral:lncRNA from 1 species